UUCCUACGGGGCGCAGCAGUGGGGAAUAUUGCACAAUGGGGGAAACCCUGAUGCAGCGACGCCGCGUGAGUGAAGAAGUAUUUCGGUAUGUAAAGCUCUAUCAGCAGGGAAGAAGAAAGACGGUACCUGACUAAGAAGCCCCGGCUAACUACGUGCCAGCAGCCGCGGUAAUACGUAGGGGGCAAGCGUUAUCCGGAUUUACUGGGUGUAAAGGGAGCGUAGACGGCUGUGCAAGUCUGAAGUGAAAGCCCAGGGCUCAACCCUGGGACUGCUUUGGGCACUGCGUGGCUGGAGUGCAGGAGGGG
rnacentral:rRNA from 1 species